rnacentral:rRNA from 1 species
GACGAACGCUGGCGGCGUGCUUAACACAUGCAAGUCGAGCGGUAAGGCCCUUUCGGGGGUACACGAGUGGCGAACGGGUGAGUAACACGUGGGUGACCUGCCCUCAGCUCUGGGAUAAGCCUGGGAAACCGGGUCUAAUACUGGAUAUGACUCCAUGACGCAUGUUGUGGGGUGGAAAGCCUUGUGCGGCUGAGGAUGGGCCCGCGGCCUAUCAGCUUGUUGGUGGGGUGANGGCCUACCAAGGCGACGACGGGUAGCCGGCCUGAGAGGGCGACCGGCCACACUGGGACUGAGACACGGCCCAGACUCCUACGGGAGGCAGCAGUAAGGAAUAUUGCGCAAUGGGCGAAAGCCUGACGCAGCGACGCCGCGUGGGGAUGAAGGUCUUCGGAUU